CUGUCGAGGGUAGGUAGCGAGGCUUCUCGUGGACACGCGCGCACAAGCUUAGAAACAGACAUGACGUGCGCACGCACACAUCUCAAGGAGAGGAGCUCCGCUGGAGAAAGUUUAAAAAGCAGGCGUUUUCAACUUGGGCAAGAGUGAUGGCAGCUUUAAGAUAAAGUUUUUCCAGCGAUGCAAAUUCUUUGGAAAAAAAAAAUAAAAAUAGAACAGUGUUACAUAUACUGAGUGACACCUCCAGCUGCCAUCCAAAUCCACCGUCAUCCAGAUUAGCCCGGACACCGCCAGAUGCCUCACGGCCCGCAGAAGAAGAAAGGCAUAGCGAGCUGCCGGAUACAUCACCAAGUUCAGACUGUUAAGGCUGGUCAGUGCACCGUGGAAAUUUUAUAUGGACCUUUGUGGGCUAG